CGGGGCUUAAUGUCUUGUAAUUGGAAUGAUGGGAAUUUAAACCUCUUCCAGAGUAUCAAUUGGAGGGCAAGUCUGGUGCCAGCAGCCGCGGUAAUUCCAGCUCCAAUAGCGUAUAUUAAAAUUGUUGCAGUUAAAAAGCUCGUAGUUGAAUUUCUGCUGCAUCGUCGCAUCUCUUGCUGAGUGCUUCAUUGCGGCUUAUUUCGGAUUGAUUUUUUCUUUCCGGAUGAUUACUUUGAGAAAAUUAGAGUGCUCAAAGCAGGCUUUUGCCUUGAAUAGUUUAGCAUGGAAUAAUAAAGUAGGACUUUGGUUCUAUUUUGUUGGUUUUAGGUACCAAAGUAAUGGUUAAUAGGAACAGUUGGGGGCAUUCGUAUUUAACUGUCAGAGGUGAAAUUCUUAGAUUUGUUAAAGACGAACUACUGCGAAAGCAUUUGCCAAGGAUGUUUUCAUUAAUCAAGAAC
rnacentral:rRNA from 1 species